ACCAAGGAUUAGCAAUGUUUAAAGCAAAAGUUAAAAAGAUUGCUUUAGUCUUCUAUCAGUUCAGUUUACACAGUUAACUCCUGUUCUGCUUGAUAUUCAUGAACAUUUCAGCUCUCCAUGAGAGUCCUGAAAGUUUUUUUCCCUCUAUUAUAAUGUCACAAUCUCCAAAGUUAUCAGAAACCUGCAUUGAAGAAAACCUGUUAGAGUUCCACAGCUGAUUAUAGAACCACCUUCUAAAGAGGACCAAAACAAGACUUGUCUGUGGAUGACAAGAGGUUUUAGGGCAGUCAUAAAGAUACAACUGACAAGGAAAUUUGUUACCUCUGUGGCACACAAUAAUUUAAGACAACAAUUAUAAUUAUUACUGAUAAUGUACACUAAGUUAUAUCAGAAUUACAGGAGUUUCCCAUAAUCUUGGAACACAUACCAAUAAAAUGUUCAUACAAAUACAGCUCAAAUAAAACCGAACGCCAUUUUAUAUUUGACAAUAUUGCCUGUAUAAUUUUUUGUACCAAAUAAGCCAAAUUAUGUCAUUUUUGGACUUUAGGGAACCUAAUAUCUUAAAGAAUUAAUUAGGUCAGAAAACAACAUAAUUUACUAUUUGAUUUUGGAAAGUUUGUCAGAUACCAAAGGUUUAAAACACUUGAUAUCACAAAAUAAGAUCACAGAUCAUUGCAAAGUAAGUCAUUCAUUUAACCAAAGUGAUAAAUCAAGGAUUUUUUUAAAAGGCGAAAACCUUUAUUCUUUGAGAGAGAAGACUUAAUUUUCCAAACAAUAGCCCUAAUAAAAACAACACGAAGUCAACUAAAUUUGUUUUUCAAAUUUUUAUAAACAAUCUAUAAAAUUGUAAUUUGACCAUAAGAUAUAGCUUCCAUAAGCCUUUUAUAACCCAUAUAACCUUUGUUAAAAAGAUUUUUAAUGCUUCAAGAAAACCUUGCUAACCUUACACAGAAGGCUAUACGCUGAUGUCGCGUCAGUGCGCUUUGACAUUCACGAUUACUUUAUAGAGAAACUGGACUUAUUUUAUCUUUCAAAACCGGCCCUUACGAUCUCAUGUACAUGGAAAGGCAGGUCAUCAGCAGUAAGUGAGGCCUCUUCAAAUAUUUUUUCAGAGUUUGACCCUUUUCUUCAACAAGCCUCGUGUAAACCAAAGGUUCAACCAACACCAAGACUAUCUUUUAGGGUGGUGAUUCUGACAUUCAAAUGUCAAAAAGAGACCCUUUAGAAAAGGCAAUUUGGAAAUAACCAUUAGAUCUCUGCAGAGCAAAACCUCUCUUCUCACAGGUGACAUGGGUACAGAUGGACACUCCCUUUCAAAGAUGUGGCUUACCCUUUGCCCUUUCUUAUUCCAUGCU
rnacentral:lncRNA from 1 species